UUCAUAUUUUUAUUACAAGUAAGUUCAAUUCUUGACUAUUUCUUGAAAUUUUUGUAUUUUUAUGACUUUUACAACUAGGCCCACUUGUUAAAUUCAUUAGUUUUUGAUUUUAUGAAAGAAGUUGAAAGUUGAUAUGAAUAUGUGCUGGAAGUAUAUGAUGAUUUAGCAUGAAAUUAGAGCUUUAAAUUGUUCAUAUUCUGAUUUUAUUGAAAGAAUUGAAUAGAAAGUGAAUGUUUGGGACCUAAUAGUAAAAGAGUUUGAAGAUAGAGUUAUAUGUGGAAAUUCUGAAUUUCAAUAGUUGUGUAACAACUUAUAAUGUCUAGUAAAGUACUAAUUGAGAAAAUUAGAUUAAUUGAGGGGUUAAUUGAGAAAGGACCGAAUUGUAUAAACUGUGAAAUUUGGGGCAAAAUGGAAAUCAACAUUUUGCACUAAAGCAGUUUUGGACAGCAGCAGUAGUGUAACUUUGAAAAAUCACCAAAAAUUGUAGAGAUUGAAUUAGAGGAUGAAUAAAAUAUGAAAUUAAAGCUUAUUGAGUCUAGUUUCUUAUAAAAGAAAUUAUGUGAGCAAUGGAAUUGUAAAUCAUGAGAUAUAAUAGAUUUUGUGAGACAAGGUCAGAAUGAAUUCGGGUUUCCCUGUUCUGACUUUGGAAAAUCAUUAAAAAUUGUACAGAAAUUAUUAUGAGUUAUAGUUUAUAUGGUUAGAAUCCUUAAUGAGUCUAUUUUUAGAAGAAACAAGCUAAAACAUCAUCCAAAUUCUGUACAAUGAGAUAAUUAAUUUUUAGUGAAGAGUGGUCGGAACUGUCAGACAGCGAAACAGGGGAAACUUUAAAGAAUAAACUGUACUAUUUGGCUGAACCAAAAAUUAUGAAAAUUUUAUGGUAUGAAGAUAUGUGAGUCUAGUUUCAGGUAAAAUUAACGGAUUUUAAUUUGGAGCUCUGUAGCUCCAGAUAAAAAUAAUUUAGUGACUCUGACUCGGAUAAACAGCUUUGAAUAUACAUGUUAGUGAAUAUUGAAAUUAUGGUUAAUGUUGUUUAAGUGUGUUAUACACAUUAAGGAUGUGGAAUGGAGAGGAGGAGGAGGAAAAUUGGGAAAUAUAUGAAUGAUUUGUGUAUAAAUGGUCAUAUGUUUGAUUAUAACUGAUAAACGAUGAAAUAUGAAUGAUGCUUAUUUUUGUGCAUUAUUGGUCAUGGUUUAAGCUCAUGUGUGAAAAUAAAGUUUCAUAGUAUGUGUGUAUGGUAUAUUCAGUAUAUGAUUUGGCAUGAAAUAAUACCAUGAAUGGUUUAUGAAUUAACACAUGUUGGUAAGCCUGAUAUAUGAAUAAAUGAUCAAAUGGAGCGGAACGCCGGAUUUGAGUACUUCUGAUCAAGUGAUAAAGUGAUAAGUGGUAGCUUUAGCUACACUUAUCUGAUCAAGUGACAAGUGGAAAGUGAUAAGUAAUAGCUUCGGCUAUACUUAUCUGAUCAAGUGAUAAAGUGAUAAGUGAUAGCUUCGGCUAUACUUAUCUGAUCAAGUGACAAAGUGAUAAGUGAUAGCUUCAGCUACACUUAUCUGAUCAAGUGACAAGUGGAAAGUGAUAAGUGAUAGCUUCGGCUACACUUAUCUGAUCAAGUGACAAGUGAAAAGUGAAAAGUGAUAGCUUCGGCUAUACUUAUCUGAUCAAGAGACAAAGUGAUAAGUGAUAGCUUUAGCUACACUUAUCUGAUCAAGAGACAAAGUGAUAAGUGGCUACACUUAUCUGAUCAAGAAACAAAGUGAUAAGUGGCUACACUUAUCUGAUCAGGGACAAGUGAUAAGUGAUCAUACGUAAGACCAUAGUUAUACUAUGGCAAAGUGAAAGUGAAGUACUCAAUUUUCCGUGACCGUUCCCUAAUUUGAUUAAGGAUGGUAAGUGACAAAUAGGCCCAAAAGAAUUAAAGAAAAUGGAUAAGUGGUAGUGUAUUUAUAUCAGGACGAUGUUGUUAUUCAAACUAAAGUGAUAUUUUCAUUGCUAAAUUGAGAAUUUCAUAAAUGUGUUAUUGAAUGGUAUAAUCAAUAAACAUUGAGUUAAAUGGUAAAUACGUAUUAGUUUUGAAUUUGAUGUCAUUGAAUUGUACGUGAAUUAAAUGGAAAUUUCUAGUGAUAUGAUUUAAAUUAUGAGCAUGAGAAAUUGCAAAUUGAAUGAAAUGGAAAUGAAGCAUUGAAUUGCAUGAGUAUGUGACGGGUCUCGUAGGCCCUAAUUAUUAUGAUUAUAAUAUUUCGAGGAUAUAUUGUGAAAAGUUAUAGAAGCAUGUUAAUUAUUUUGAAAUUUUUUAUUUAGAUGAAAUUUUAUAACUCGGUUAAAUACACUUACAAGUGUAUGUGUUUUGGUGAUACCUCGUACCCUAUUCCGGUGUUGGAUAUGGGUAAGGGGUGUUACAAAUUUAGUAUCAAAUUUACUCAUAUUUUCCAAAAAAAAGAAAAGAAAAGGACAAAUAUCAAUAAAAAUAAAGUAUAAUGAUGAUUUUCAAUGGUGAUUUUGUAUUUUAACCAUUUUUUUAAAAAAAUGGUAAUAUUUGAAAUUUUAAAAUAGUAUGGUAAAAAAAUUAUUAGUAUUUUAAAACAUAAUUAUCCGGUUGUUUUAAAAUUUUUACCAAACAAAAUUUUUAAUAUUUUUAGAUUAUUUGGUAAAGAAAUUAAUUUUAUUUUAAUUAUUAAAUAGUAUGGUAAUUAAAAAUAGUUUUAUUAACAAACAUAUAUAUUUAAUAUAAUUACUCACCAUUAAUUUGAAUUCAUUUUCAAUAAGUAAUUGAAAUUAAUAAAUUUUACGUAUAAUAUUGAUUAAUAAAUAGACAGGCUUUCAAUAACAAUAUCAACAUUAUAUGAUAUUUAAUUUUAUAUUUUAAUAUUAUUAUACUAAUUUAUAUAAUAAUCGCAUACCUAUAUAUGUUAAUUAAUUUAAUACACAUUAAUGCAUGUUUAUUUUAUAUACAUAUUAUGUGUACUAAUUAAGUUUUAUAUAAAUUUAUUAAGAGUUAAUUUAUUUUAUAUAUAUAUAUUUGGACUACCUAUUUAAUCACGUUGUGUAGAUUUUUUUAACUUGUAUUUUAAUUAUUUUUCUUGUAUUUGUAUCACUUGAGAGUUUAUUUGUAUUAUUUAAAUUAUUUAUUUUUAGGGAUCCAUUAGAAAUAUUUAAAGGGUUUGACAAGUUAUAUAAAUAUUUUAGGUUUUGAUUUCUGUAUUUCAUUUGAAUAUAUUUCUAAAUUUAUUUUCAUAAAUAUAAUAUUUAUUUUAUAAGUUUAUCUAUAAUUAAUGGUUGACAUCCCACGUAAAGUGGGUGUAAAAUCUAGUUAUUAUAAAUUUAAGAUUAUCUUUUAUUAAUUUAAAAAUAGAUAUAUUGUAACAACUCAAUUUCAUUGAAAUCGUAAUAGUGGUUUCGAGAUCACAAAUCCGAGUCUGAAAAAUAAAAUUAUUUAAAUUUCAUAAAAUGAUAGGUAUUAUGGUGGGAAUAUUGCAUGAAAAUUUUUAUCGAAAAUUUUUAUCAAUUAUGUGUCUAAUUGCAAAAAGGACUAAAUUGAAUAAAAUGUCAAAGUUGAAUUCUAGUAUUUAUAAGGAUUAAAUAGCUAUAAAAUUAAAAAUGAGAAGUCCUUAUAUGACAAUUACACCAUUGAUGAAAAACAUGUAGAUAUUUUUAGUGAGUCAUCCAUGGAAAAAUUGAAAAAGGUUAAGGACUAAAUUGAAAAUUAAAUUAAAUAAAGUAUGAUAAAUGAUUAAAUAGAAUUAAAUCCAGUUUAUAUCAUCUUCUUCCCCAUAAAAUACAUGGAAACCCUAGGAGAGAGAAAGGAAAUUUCUUAAGCUUGAUUUGGUAAGUUCUAUGUCCUGUUUUUAGUGAUUUUUAUAUUUUUGAGAUCGGGAAAGCUUAAUUUAUUUAUUUGGGUGAUUAAGUUGAAAGAAAAUCAAAGUUUAGAAAAUUACGCAUGGAUGAAUAUGCAGUAAAUUGAAAGUUUUUGAUAGAAAAUGAAAGAUUAUUGAUAGAUAAAUCACUUUUACAAGGUGAUUUUUGGUGAAAACAAGUGUAGGGACUAAAUUGCAAUGUAGUGAAAUUAUUAGAAAAAUUCUGAAAAUUAUGAAAUACAUGUUCUGUAAAAAUUAUAUUGAAAUUUUGAAUAAGCUGGGAAUAAGGAGUAAAUUGCAUGAAUUUCAAUUUCCAGGCCUAGGGACGAAAUUGGAAUUAAUCAAAAAUUUAGGGGCAAAAUGAUACUUUUGCCUAAAAUGUGAAGUGAGCUUGAUUGAAUGUAAAAAUCAUAGAAUUGAUGAUUAAUUUUAUUUAUAUAGAUCCGAAAGUGUCGAACAAAGAAAAAGAUCGAGGGAAAGAAAAAUUUUCGGAUUAGUAGAUACAAUCAAUUGUCGAGGUAAGUUCGUAUAACUAAAUUAAGGAUGUAAAUGUGUUGAAUUGAUUGUUGAAUAUUGUGCAUUAUGAUUUGUAAUUGGUAUGUACAUGUAAUAAAUCAAUCUUGAUUUGUGAUUUACAUGUAAAUGAUGAAAUAUUACAUGAAUUCGUUUGAAUAUUGAUUUUCGAUUGGACAGGUGAUUACCAUGUAUAUGAGAUCUUGCAUAUGUUGCAGUAAAGGUUGUUCCGAAAAGGAUAAUCUUUUGAUCUCAUUAUGAAAAGGAAUGUAACCCAAAAGGGUAAUACUUGAAAAGGAUUUAUGUACCCAAAUGGUACAACUUGAAAAGGUUAUGUACACUUUGUGUGUACACUUGAAAAGGAAAGGUAUACUUUGUGUAUACCAUAUGAAAAGGAAAGGUAUACUAUAUGUGUACACUUGAAAACGUUAUGUGCAUUUUGAGUGUACAAAUUGAAAAGGGUAUGUACACUUCGUGUGUACCACUGGAAAAUGGAAUGUGCACCUCGAGUGUAAAACUAGAAAAGGAAAAGUCCAUUGGAAAUUAAAAAUUCAACAGAAAUGUAUUUACAAGUGAAAUAAGAAGAAAUGACAUGUUGAGCUCAUCUAUGCAUAAUAAUAUUUUUGUACUAACCAAUUUUGGUUGAAUGAUUAUGUAUAGGUCAUAUUUGCUAGUUUGUUAAAUUUAUGGAUAAAUUACUUUAUGUGUGAUUUACUUGUUAAUUUUGAGUGGUAAAUGUAGUUUGGUUAUAUGAACUUACUAAGCAUAUAAUGCUUACUAGGUUUAUUUUUCCCUAUUUUAUAGUGCUCGAAGCUCGUGAAGGUUGGAUCGGGUCGGAGUAUCAUCACAUUAUCAACUCCUUAAUAUUGGUAUAAACGAUAAACUCAUUUUGAUAUAAUGGCAUGUAUAGACUAAUGAGGUCAAAUGAUGAUGUAAUAUGUUUGUUUACAACUUAGCCAUUGGAAUGACUAGUAAUAUGUAUUUUGUGGUAAUGUGGUAUGUUCAUGUUCAACAAUAUACAAAUCACCUGUCUUAAAACUUGAUUUACAAACCAAUGUAAAGGCAAG
rnacentral:lncRNA from 1 species